rnacentral:rRNA from 1 species
UACGUAGGGGGCGAGCGUUGUCCGGAAUCAUUGGGCGUAAAGCGCGUGUAGGCGGUUCGGUAAGUCCGCUGUAAAGUACGGGGGCUCGAACCCUCGAACGCCGGUGGAUACUGUCGAGCUUGAGUACGGAAGAGGCGAGUGGAAUUCCUGGUGUAGCGGUGAAAUGCGCAGAUAUCAGGAGGAACGCCAAUUGCGAAGGCAGCUCGC